UAGCUCAGUCCCCUUCUCCCCCGGGAUGUAGGGGUAGGCGGUGAGCUUCUAGGAAGAUUUUCAGCUACAGCCUCUAAGGGCCUGGCUCUAUCCCCAGGGGCACAUCUGGAACAUUCCUCUCCCUCCAAAGAGAUAUCUCAACAGUUGCAGAAGCUUCUGGCAGAGCCAAACCCCAGUGUUCCUGAAAUUGCCUCCAACGGGGCUCUGGUGGUAUCAGGAAUUUCUGAAUUGAAGAGAGUAAGACUUGUUACUGUUUGGUCAGAGAUCCACACCUGGUUGGCCCCUUUCUCCUCCAUCCCUCAUUCCCAACCUCCCACAGGUAGAGGUCAAGGCCAUUUUGGGGUGGAUGGCAAUUGGAGGCUUGGGGAGAAUCUCUAGACAUUCUACAAAAGCCGCUUCCUUUUGCUUAGUUUUGGCCGCGCUGCUCCCACCCUCAGCACAGCCCUGAUGGAGCAAUGUAUCAUCUGAGAUCCAGGGUGAUGGGGGAGACAAGGAAGCAGGGUUCUUGUUCAGAGACAAACAUGGCUUGGGGACACUUUCUAGGACUGGGGUGUGGUGUCUGGAUGGGGUCAGUGUCUUCUGUUCUCAAGAUAUAGACCCAAAGGGCUGUCAGCACCCCUGAACGCGUUGCAUGGACAAAUGCGUCCUCUCCGGGCUUAGCAGGAUACCAUGCUGGCCUUGGAGGAGACUCAGCACCAUUUAGAGCUGUGGUUUCUUUCCUCAUAGACGUCCAGAUGGCCAUCAGACACAGAUUGGGUGUGGAUCCCUGAGCAGGAGGCCAGCAGACUCUGCUGCACCCCACCCCAUUUCUAGGGCUCCAUUCGCCUUCGAAGGGCCUUUUCAACUAUGGGCUUAGGAUGGGGCCCCAGUGGGUGGGAAGGGACAAUGCAGUGUAGUACCUCUUUCAAUAGGACAGACCUGGGUUCAAAUCCUGCCUUUGCUUCCUAAUUUCCGGAGAAGUGAUCUUGGGUAAGCCACAUGACCUUUCAGAGUCUCAAUUUGCUCCUCUUGAAAUGGGGAUAUAAUUUCAGUUUUGCAGGGGUGUGUGAGGAUAUGAUACAAGGAGAACAGCCCAGUGCCUGGCACCCUGUCAACUCCUGACAAUGGGGACAAAUAAGACCUUGAGAGGCAGGCAUGGGGUCUGCUCUUGGCCUUAUCCAGCCCUGGGGCCCUUCCCUUCAGCCCAGACCAGGUGGAACCAAGGCCCUGGGCUUGAGCCCCCUCCCUCGGAGAAGGUUGGAGUGAGCAUUCAAUCCUGAUUAGCUCCACCGGGCUCCCUCGUAACCUUUUCAUUAGGAAAUUAUGUUUAAUAGAAAUUGUUCUGACACCUCUCAGCAGCAUUUCCCUGCAAUUCAUUACCACCUCGGGGGAGGGGGGCAGGCAGCUGAGCGGCUCUUGGGCCCAGAUCCAUCGGGAGCCCUGCCCCCUCUUACCAUGUCCUCUUGUUGCCUGUGCAGGACAGAGCCUUGGUGUCCCCCACAGAGAGGCGGGGCAGCUGUUGGAGCAUAUCUGGCAGGGAACCGUGCGCUCUUAGCACCCUCCCCCGGGUCUGAUUUGGGACUAGCCAGCUGCUGCCGAUGAUGCUGGUGUGUCGGUGGCAUCCUGGAUUCUUGUUCUGUUGUCGCACUGCCCCCACAAGGGAGAGAACACAGUGGUCUCCAGCUGCUACAUUGCGGGGAGCACUGCCAUCGUCAUCGUCAUUCUCUAUCCUCUGCCACCUCUCUGUCUGCCUGCAAACUAGCCUCUCUCCCCUGCUCCCUUCCUCCCGGAGCAUCCUGGGAUGAGUCCCCUCCAGGUCUGCUUUGCUGUCAUCCCCCACCCCCCCAUUUGGUACCUGGUCCCAGGGGAGGACACAGGCUCAGGGGACCCUGGGCUGCAUCUCCCAGAAUGGGCUGUGGAUGUGGAAGCAGAGACUCGGUCGUUUCUUGGUCUCAUCCAUAAGGGCCUCUCAGGCUUUCUAUAAUAUUCCUGUCUCUGUCCUAGCUCUAGACGGGUUCUGUUUCUCACACUCAGCCUUGGGGGCCUGGGUUUUGGGCUGGGGAUGCUGAGGGAAUGUCGCUGAUGUGACAACAAGCUGGGAAAUUCUGUCACUCUCCUCCUGCUUUGGUCCCAGGCCCCAGGAGGCUGCUGUCCUUGCUUUGGUACCUUGGAUUUUCUGCCCUGUGAAAUGAACCAGGUCCUUCAUCCCAUUGCCCCCUGAAGAAGAGAGAGGGUCGGGGAGCUUGGUGCUGAAAUGGUCCCUGCUUCACGAGGCCUGGAGAGCCGAGGACCCAGCUUGGACGCCUCAGCAUCCCUCUCUGACCCGACCACUGGCGAGACACCUUACCGUUUCCCCACCCAGGAGCUGAAAUGAGCAGCAGCCUAAUCUCGCCCUGCCAUAUCACUCCAUGGUUCCAAGCAGGAGAACUGGGCUUUGAUCCCCAGGGAAGGACUGGCAGGCCUUGACCACAUGACCUCCUACAAUACUUCUGAUUCUGACAUUUUGGGCAAAGGAAGCUGGGUAACCAAGUUUCUGGUUUCUACCUUGGGAAGAUGUGACUCAUGAGCCUAGAAACUCCCAAAUUCGGCAAAAUUUUUUGUGGGAAGCCAAAUCAACCAGCACCGAACAAGAUAAAGUCCACUGCAGGGAAGGUUCGGGAGCCCUGAGUGGCCACCUUGGAUCUGGAGGUCCGCCCAGGUGUGUGGAGAAGAAGCUGAGGAUGAGACAGGGGUGUGGGUGCGAGAUGGGGAGCGGGUGCAGGAGCCCCUGUCCUUGGUGUCCUUGACUGAGUCUUGACUGCAUUCCUGCUCUUUACCACACUCCUGUGUCCCUUUUGUAAACUUCCCCUUUUAUUUAAA